rnacentral:rRNA from 1 species
GGGGGGGGGGGGGGGGGGGGGGGAGGGGGGGGGGGGGGACGGCAGCGGCGUGGGGGGGUGGGCUUACGGGUGGCGGGUGGCGGACGGGUGGGGAAGACAUGGGCAUCUCCUUGUUCGGGGGGGGUAACGUAUGGAAACUGACGCUAAUACCGCAUACGCCCUACGGUUGCACGCAGGUGCUCUUCGGACCUUGCGCGAUUGCAUGCGCCACGGUCGGAUUGUCUAGUUGGCGGGGUAACGGCCCACCACGGCGCCGAUCCGUAGCUGGUCUCGGAGGAUGGUCAGCCACACUGGAACUGGGACACGAUCAAGACUCCUACGAGAGGCACCAGUGGGGAAUAUUGGACAAUGGGCGCAAGUCUGAUCCAGCCAUACCGCGUGGGUUAAGAAGGCCUUCGGGUUGUAAAGCCCUUUUGUUGGGAAAGAAAAGCAGCAGGUUAAUACCCCGCUGUUCUGACGGUACCCAAAGAAUAAGCACCGGCUAGCUUCGUG